rnacentral:tRNA from 1 species
UGGAAAGUGACAUCGCAGUCGGUUGCGGUCCCCGUCUCGAAAACGGGUGGAUGUUACGGCAUUGGGGUUCAACUCCUCCGCUUUCCGC